UACGGGGGGGGCAAGCGUUGUUCGGAAUUACUGGGCGUAAAGGGCUCGUAGGCGGCCAACUAAGUCGGACGUGAAAUCCCCAGGCUCAACCUGGGAACUGCGUCCGAUACUGGAUGGCUUGAAUCCGGGAGAGGGAUGCAGAAUUCCAGGUGUAGCGGUGAAAUGCGUAGAUAUCUGGAGGAACACCGGUGGCGAAGGCGGCUCUCUGGACCACAACUGACGCUGAGGCGCGAAAGCUAGGGGAGCAAACAGG
rnacentral:rRNA from 1 species